GAUGAACGCUAGCGGGAGGCCUAACACAUGCAAGCCGAGCGGUAGAGUCUCUUCGGAGCCUUGAGAGCGGCGCACGGGUGCGGAACACGUGUGCAACCUGCCUUUAUCUGGGGGAUAGCCUUUCGAAGGGAAGAUUAAUACCCCAUAAUAUACUGGAUGGCAUCAUCUGGUAUUGAAAACUCCGGUGGAUAGAGAUGGGCACGCGCAAGAUUAGAUAGUUGGUGAGGUAACGGCUCACCAAGUCAGCGAUCUUUAGGGGGCCUGAGAGGGUGAUCCCCCACACUGGUACUGAGACACGGACCAGACUCCUACGGGAGGCAGCAGUGAGGAAUAUUGGACAAUGGGUGAGAGCCUGAUCCAGCCAUCCCGCGUGAAGGACGACGGCCCUAUGGGUUGUAAACUUCUUUUGUAUAGGGAUAAACCUAGAUACGUGUAUCUAGCUGAAGGUACUAUACGAAUAAGCACCGGCUAACUCCGUG
rnacentral:rRNA from 1 species